ensembl:lncRNA
CGACAGACUCUCACAUGAAUGCACACAUUGGAUUCCCUCCUUCCCACGUCUUUCACACACUCCCCCAGAGCCCGUGAGGAGGAAGCACUAAAGUAGACCCCUCUAGCUCUGGCGGCGGCUGCUUUUCUUGCAACUUACAGUCAGUCUGUCUCUGUCUAGUCCCCUUUACUAAUCCUUUCUUCCCUGUCCUGGUGGUUCCCUGCACCUUUACCCAUCUUCCCAACAUCAACCUGCUCUUUUGAUGGCUAUCCUCAGAGACCUUCGCGGAAGCCUCACUAUUUCCACCUGUCACAGCCGAACUGUCUCGCAUCUCAAGUUUGGAGGUACUUGGUUUGCUGCUGGAGCUUUUGCCGCCGCCGCCGCCGCUGCUAUUUCCUUCUCUAUUUCUUCCUCCUCCUCCGUUUUCUCUUUUUCUUUCUCUUCUUUGGUGCGAGGUUAAGCUUAAAGCCGAGGAGUACAGCUGGAGUCCUGGAGCCCAUGGCAGGAUUACCCGCCUCCCUAAAUUCUUCUUCCUCAUCCUUCUCAGCACCUCUGCUCCCUCGCUUCCUCCCGGCGAAGCCUUGGGAGAGCAACAUCUGGAGCAGGUGAGCAGCUGCUGUGGAGCUCCAGUCCAAGAGCAGAAGGUCCGCUUUCGCCCCGGAGCUACAACUCUCUCUCUCUCUCUCUCUCUCUCUCUCUCUCUCUCUCUCUCUCUCUCUCUCUCCAUACACUCACACGCACACACACACACAUACAUAUACGAGAGGCAGCCGCUACACACGGAGAAAAAGAAACGGGGCUAAGGAGAAGAGGGAGAACCAGAAGAACCCCGUUUUUCUAUAUUUUGGUCAACUUGGCACGAACCACUGCAGAUGCACCACAGGUUACAGUUGGGGGGUCUCGCUGCCUCCCGGUAGCGGCGCAGCAGCAGGUCACGGUGGCGCCUCUGGUGUUGGCGCUCGGGUGUUGGUGUUGGCCGUGCGGCGGCGGCGGCUGCUGCCAGGGACCGUCAGUAUCCAACGGUGCCCUGUGAUCGCCACCCGCCCCCUCCCUCCCUCUCCCCCGCCCCAACCUCUGUUAACCAUCGCUAAGUAACCUUCUCCUCCGGCUGCGGCGGUCCCGGGUGACAUGCAGUCCCUUAUCUCUCCGGUGACCAAGGCGAUUCUGGUGGCUUUGUUCAUCUUUGCCAUCCUCCUGAUCCUCUAUGUUAUCCUUUGGUACAUCUGCCGCGAUGUGGAUUGCGACCACGGCAUCUGAGUCGGGCUGCGGGGCAGCCUUGGAGCUGGAGACUGCUUGACAGUGGAGUCUCUCAAGGGGGGGAGGGGGCUUGAUCAAAAGAGAGCCAGACACAGAAGAAAAGAUCUGGGGUUUAAAAAAAGAAAGAAAGAAAGAGUGAGAGAGGUGGAGGGGAAGGACGGUGGUGGAGACGAGGAAAAAAAAAAAAGAGAGAGAGAGAAAAGGUGGGCAUGGGGGUGGGGAAGGAAAAAGCAGCCGUCAACUCCUCGGAUCCUACAACCUCAUCGAAACCUGGCAGGCGACAACUACAUCUAAGCACCGGCGACGUGGAAUUGACCUUCAGACAGCAGGGUCACCCUGUGCCCAGUGAGGGACUUGAAAGCUCUGGACAGUGUGGAGUCAUCCCUUGCCCUACUACACCACAAGAGCAGCACAGACAGGCAUACAUGGUGCCAUCAAGGUGCCAUGAUUCUGAUGUGGAGGGACGCCUUUGAGGGAUGGAAGGGGGAGACUUUGCUCCUGGGACUGUCAUGUCAACAAGAGUGCUGAUGGUGCAAUUUUGUGGGGACGGAGGGUGGGGCAGACAAUAUAUGGAUUGACGCCAUCGGCAGCCAUCACCCAUCUCACCUAAUAGUCCAAUGACUGGGCCCUCUCAACAGCUGGGGUCAAGGCCUCCAUCACAUCUCUUUGCUGGUAUUCUGAGCCAUCCCACCUGGCCCGUCUCUCCUCCCUCUUUCUUGUGGAGUCCUCAUCGACCUCCUUGCUUAUGCACGGUACUGAACCAGCAGGGCUCUCUGUUUAAAAUAUCUGUGAGGCAGCUUUGUGGAGAUUUUUACUUUUACAUACAUGACUAGAGAAGUCCUGAGGACAAUCAGCAUCAGAUUGUAACAUCUUUAAGUUCUUUUUCUAGAUGCAGAUGGUGUUUUCUAUCCAAAGUUUACUGG